CAAGCAGCGGAGCGUGUGGUUUAAUUUCGAUGUUACACGAAGAACUUACCAGGGUUUGACAUGCAAGUGGUAGGAAGCCGAAAGGUGACCGACCCUUCGGGGAGCUUGCACAGGUGCUGCAUGGCUGUCGUCAGCUCGUGUCGUGAGAUGUUCGGUUAAGUCCGCUAACGAGCGCAACCCUCGCUGUGUGUUAUAUGUGUCACACGGGACUGCCGGUCUUAAGCCGGAGGAAGUGGGGAUGAUGUCAAGUCAGCAUGGCCUUUAUAUCCUGGGCUACACACACGCUACAAUGGCCAACACAAUAGGUUGCUAAGCCGCGAGGUGGAGCCAAUCCCAUAAAGCCAGUCGUAGUCCGGAUCGUAGUCUGCAACUCGACUACGUGAAGUCGGAAUCGCUAGUAAUCGUGGAUCAGAAUGUCACGGUGAAUACGUUCCCGGGUCUU
rnacentral:rRNA from 1 species